GUUCUGGUGCAGGGUCCACUCUCAGGACACAUCCAUAGUGUAGUAAAAACAAACUUUACCACGCACACUACUGCCCACCAACCACUGUGAGGGAAGUGACUAAAGAAGAAAAAGAACAGAUUGAAAACUUCAAACCAACCAUGUCAUCAAGGCUCCAGCUGCACCUCCAUGUGCAUAUAGAAAAUGGAAUCCCCUUUAAAGAAAACUUUCGCAAUCACUGAAUCCUGGAAAAGUGGAAAAGAGCUGGUUUGCAAAUACAGGAUUUUCCAGAACAACCAUAUGAGAAAGACUGUGGCAUCUUUAUGCUCCUGCUGAGACACAUUACCUGCCUGGUUAAAUACUACUGACUGUAAACCUGUUCAUAUUAAAUAUUUUUAUUCAUAGUAUGUCGUGUACA